GAAGUUNUGACUGGCGUGGACAACCUCUCCCCGGCUUUGGGAUAACCGGGGAAACCGGUAAUACCGAAUGUGACCUUGCACCGGGUUUGGUGGAGAGUUUUUCGGCUUGGGAUGGGCUCGCGGCCUAUCAGGUUGUUGGUGGGGUGAUGGCCUACCAGGCGACGACGGGUAGCCGGUCUGAGAGGGCGACCGGCCACACUGGGACUGAGACACGGGCCAGACUCCUACGGGAGGGAGCGGUGGGGAAUAUUGCACAAUGGGCGGAAGCCUGAUGCAGCGACGCCGCGUGAGGGAUGACGGCCUUCGGGUUGUAAACCUCUUUCAGCAGGGACGAAGGACGGUACCUGCAGAAGAAGCGCCGGCC
rnacentral:rRNA from 1 species